UACGGAGGGUGCGAGCGUUGUCCGGAAUUAUUGGGAGUAAAGAGCUUGUAGGCGGUUUGUCGCGUCUGCUGUGAAAUUUCGGGGCUCAACCCCGAACUUGCAGUGGGUACGGGCAGGCUAGAGUGUGGUAGGGGAGACUGGAAUUCCUGGUGUAGCGGUGAAAUGCGCAGAUAUCAGGAGGAACACCGAUGGCGAAGGCAGGUCUCUGGGCCACUACUGACGCUGAGAAGCGAAAGCAUGGGGAGCGAACAGG
rnacentral:rRNA from 1 species